GGACUGGAGCAGCUGCAGCUGAGCUAGGUGUGGAUUCCACUAUCUCUUUGGAGGCCAAAAGAGUACGAGCAAGGAUGUCCAAAGAAUCUGGGCUCUAAGCAGCUUCUUGUUCCUGAGUUAAUCCAGUCUGCGUCCAUGUGUAACAGACCGUCAGUCCUAGUUGGUUCACCUGUCUCAAAAACCUGCUCCUGGAUUGUGAUUUCCAGGGAGCAGGAGCCAAAUGUUAAGAUGCCCGCUGCCAAAGAGGAAACUGCUGAAAAAAAUAAAAG